rfam:Mycobacterium sp. 1482268.1 contig_502, whole genome shotgun sequence.
GAUUGACCGUGCAUCGCGGCCUCUGUCCGAGCCGGCCCUGGCGUACUUCCCCGACGCCAGGUCCACGCGCUCGGACAGAGACCACGGUGCAGGGCCGCCUUUCA